CUACGGGAUGCAGCAGUGAGGAAUAUUGCACAAUGGAGGAAACUCUGAUGCAGCAACGCCGCGUGGAGGAUGACGCAUUUCGGUGUGUAAACUCCUUUUAUAUGUCAAGAAAAUGACGGUAGCAUAUGAAUAAGCACCGGCUAACUCCGUGCCAGCAGCCGCGGUAAUACGGAGGGUGCAAGCGUUACUCGGAAUCACUGGGCGUAAAGGACGCGUAGGCGGGAUGUCAAGUCAGGUGUGAAAUCCUACAGCUUAACUGUAGAACUGCACUUGAAACUGGUAACCUAGAGUAUGGGAGGGGGAGAUGGAAUUAGUGGUGUAGGGGUAAAAUCCGUAGAUAUCACUAGGAAUACCUAAAGCGAAGGCGAUCUCCUGGAACAUAACUGACGCUAAGGCGUGAAAGCGUGGGGAGCAAACAGGAUUAGAUACCCUCGUAGUC
rnacentral:rRNA from 1 species